rnacentral:lncRNA from 1 species
AAAAUUGUUAGCAUUAUUGGUUCAUCUAAUGAUGCGAAUAAGUUUUCUAUAAACUUCCAAAAGAAGAAGGAGGGAGUUACGAGUGAUGUUUCACAUAGUAAGUGGAAACCCCACAAUAGAGGAUAUCAACAACCUUGUAGGCAUCAACAACCUUUCGCACCUGCAUCGUAUUAUGUGAAACCUUAUGUGGUAGUCAUAACACCC